CUACGCACUCCUACGGGGAGGCAGCAGUGGGGAAUAUUGCACAAUGGGCGCAAGCCUGAUGCAGCCAUGCCGCGUGUAUGAAGAAGGCCUUCGGGUUGUAAAGUACUUUCAGCAGUGAGGAAGGUGGGUAUGUUAAUAGCAUACUCAUUUGACGUUAGCUGCAGAAGAAGCACCGGCUAACUCCGUGCCAGCAGCCGCGGUAAUACGGAGGGUGCGAGCGUUAAUCGGAAUUACUGGGCGUAAAGCGCAUGCAGGUGGUUUGUUAAGUCAGAUGUGAAAGCCCGGGGCUCAACCUCGGAAUUGCAUUUGAAACUGGCAAACUAGAGUACUGUAGAGGGGGUAGAAUUUCAGGUGUAGCGGUGAAAUGCGUAGAGAUCUGAAGGAAUACCGGUGGCGAAGGCGGCCCCCUGGACAGAUACUGACACUCAGAUGCGAAAGCGUGGGGAGCAAACAGGAUUAGAUACCCUGGUAG
rnacentral:rRNA from 1 species